UGUUAGUUUAUAUAAAAUUACAUCUCCUCUCUUGGCGUUUGUUACGUACAAAGUAAAAUAACUUUGAGAUAGAGGAUGGAUUUUGUUAUUUCGUUCUAUUCUCACUUUUUGCCUUUGAGUCAGAUGGGGUGGCAGAAGCUCCCGGUGAGACGCGGCCUUACCUCGACCGCCCGCCCGCCCACCCGACCGCCGCGGAAACGUAAACCCUUCUGGAGUCCUCCCAGGCUUGUCUUCUGCUCGACCCCAAAGACUGAGAACAGGGGAGGAGGGUGGAGGGAGUCGGCGAUGACGGUGGACACUGGACAAAAAGGGCCAUUUUCAAAAUGGCGACAGAUGGGAGCGGAUCGGUGUCACCAUGGCAAUGGGCCUUUAAGGCCAAGAUACGUUGUGCUUCUCUAAGGACUCCAUUCUCAGCUAAAAUUGAAGUGCAGAUACGGAGAAAACUCACCGAGUAAUCGUAAGAGCAGGAACAGGACUCCCAACGCAUACGACUUGAGUUCUGGAUUAACUGCCCUGCAAGCAAACAGGAAAUACUGUAAGAAUGGUCUCGAC